rnacentral:sRNA from 2 species
CAAAAAACCAGCGUCGCGAAGGCGCUGGCUAGGACGACUACAACCGUCGAGUGCCGUGCAGGUCGCGGCGGACGGCGACGCGGAGCGUCUGAGGAACCGGAGCGGACUGGCUGGCUGCCAGGGCCCGGCGAUCAAUGUGAGCGGAUUCUAGGGACGGUUUUAUAGAUCGUCAACACUAUAAAGUCCCGAAAUCAUAACAAAAAGUAA